CUUUUUCAUCAAGAGAGUGAAUGAGCCAGUUGGAGGGGAGGGGCUGUAAUCUGAGGUGACAGUGGCUGUUCUGUGAGAUAAUUUGUUUUUGUUGUUUCUAUUUUAAUGAAACAUGUACUAAGUACAAGAUCAAAGAAUUUAAAAGCAGUGACAUGUUCACUAUUAGGUAGUAAUUUUAUAUACUAAGAGGGUUUAGGUUAUAUCAUAUUUCCUACAAUUUCAAAUGUCUCCCUCUCCUGGGUGACUGGGGAGUCAUCGAUCAUCACAGGAAGAGGGAUCGAGACAAAGGCCCUGCUGGCCUCGUCCCCGGUUUGCCUAGUGCUCGGUUCAGAGGGGUUGUCUGUUAGCACCAACGGGAGGCAGUAGUUCCACAUUUCGCUCCCAAUCUGAAGGGAGGAGGAAGGGCUGUCUGUGAGCUGACGCAACGACAGAGGAGCAUCAGAGUGCAGGAUCCCGAGUCACGCGUGGCACCUGGUCUACUUCUCGGGAAGGUUUCACACGCUGGAAACCAGCCAUCUCAUCUUUAACAAGUGGAACUUAUCAAAGAAGAAAGGGUGGAAGAGGAGCUCCCAGGCCUGGCUUAUGAGUGUGGCCUUGAACACGUCCACAGACGUGUUGUUGUCCUGUUGAGUCUGCAGCCAGGAAGGCGGAACUCACUGCAGAGGGCAGGUGUGAACGUGCCGCUUCAGAGCCAGUGCUCUUUGAAGACGGAAAGUCAAGGACCCCAGUCCCUUCCAGGAAACAAGGACAUAAUUAUCACAACACCCCACUGGCCGGUGACCUUCAUUCCUCAGGCCCGCCCUACUCCCUCUGCUGGCACCAGCCCAGGUCCCCACAGCCUGAGCCCUGUGUCCAGACUGCUCAGAUCCAGAAGCAGCCCCCUUGCACACCCUUUGAAAGGGUUCUUAAUCUCUUUCUACUACGCUGCUCUCGCAACAUAAAUCCGCCAGCCUAGGGGCCUCUGAACCCCCGCGAAGGGAGGCCCAUCCAGGCCAGGAGAAGUCUGAGCCGCGGAGGCGUGGAAUUUAUAUUUCCUCUCACCUGCGCGUCUGUCUGUGGCCCCGACUCCAGUCUGUCGUUGGAGGUUUGAACAUAACCUCCCAGCUCCUUGCCAAGUCUGCCAUCAUCACCUCAGCCACAGAAGCUGACUCCUCAAGGCCACUGGAAUCCAGUAACAGGGACUCUCCACUUCAUUAUUAUGUUUGAAAUGUUGAAAGCAGAAGCCUAAUAAAAUGAGUUCAGAAAAAC
rnacentral:lncRNA from 1 species